UCAAUAUCAGACGCAAUUUUUUUAACUUCUUCAGUCGUAAAACGUAACGCGUUAUGUAUUAAAAUUUAUCCCCUAUCGAUUUCAAGAUGUUAACGAAAGACAGACAUCAUUUGUUUCAACAAUUGAAAGACGUAUUCUAUGUUAGAAACUUUCUUAUCAAGUUUUAAAGGAAUACUUCAACACUGGCUCAAGGAACGCUUUUGUCUCUGAAUAAAAAUUAUAAUAAUAAUAAAAAUUAAAGAAGAGUGAAUGUUAAUAUAAAUAAUAUGAGAUUUGAAAGUAAAAGACGACAUUAAAAAAAUUAGAAAAAGAACUAUUAUGUCCAAGAAUGUCAACAUUAAAUGAUCAAAAUAUCAAAGCCUUAACAAUCGGAUCAUUAUUGUCAUCAUCAAAACUAAUAAACGGUGACACAACGAAUGCGAAUUUUACACUGUUCAAUACAACAUCUGAACCAUUUUUUAAUAUAACUGGUCGAUUGAAUGUGUCCUUACAUAGUUUUGAUAACUACAGUUUCAUAACUGUAGAUGACGAUCUUUUAAAAAAGGAUCAUGUUUUUGAUAGAGGCGAUGUUCGAGUAAUAUUUACAAUUAUAUAUACCCUAGUAUUUUGCUGUUGCUUUUUCGGAAACUUAUUGGUUAUUCUUGUUGUAACAAUGUCACGCAGACUGAGAUCAAUCACAAAUUUCUUCUUGGCAAACCUUGCAGUCGCUGAUUUGUGUGUCGGUGUGUUUUGUGUAAUUCAGACUUUGACAUUUUACUUAAUUGAUAGG